rnacentral:rRNA from 1 species
CUACGGGGUGCUGCAGUGGGGAAUAUUGCACAAUGGGCGCAAGCCUGAUGCAGCAACGCCGCGUGAGGGAUGAAGGCCUUCGGGUUGUAAACCUCUUUUAGCAGGGAAGAAGCGAAAGUGACGGUACCUGCAGAAAAAGCACCGGCUAACUACGUGCCAGCAGCCGCGGUAAUACGUAGGGUGCAAGCGUUGUCCGGAAGUAUUGGGCGUAAAGAGCUCGUAGGCGGUUUGUCACGUCUGCUGUGAAAAUCCAAGGCUCAACCUUGGACGUGCAAUGGGUACGGGCAGGCUAGAGUGCGGUAGGGGAGAUGGGAAUUCCUGGUGUAGCGGUGGAAUGCGCAGAUAUCAGGAGGAACACCAAUGGCGAAGGCACAUCUCUGGGCCGUAACUGACGCUGAGGAGCGAAAGCGUGGGGAGCGAACAGGAUUAGAUACCCCAGUAGUC